UACGUAGGUGGCAAGCGUUAUCCGGAAUGAUUGGGCGUAAAGGGUGCGCAGGCGGAACCAUAAGUCUGAAGUAAAAGCCAUCGGCUCAACCGAUGUAAGCUUUGGAAACUGUGGAUCUGGAGUGCAGGAGAGGACAGUGGAAUUCCAUGUGUAGCGGUAAAAUGCGUAGAUAUAUGGAGGAACACCAGUGGCGAAGGCGGCUGUCUGGCCUGUAACUGACGUUGAGGCUCGAAAGCGUGGGGAGCAAACAGG
rnacentral:rRNA from 1 species